AGUGGGAUAGCUGGGUCAAAUGAUGAUUCCAUUCCAAGUUUUCCAGGGAAUCUCCAUACUGCUUUCCAAAUUAUUUGCACCAUUUGCAGUCCUACCAGCAAU
rnacentral:pre_miRNA from 1 species